rnacentral:lncRNA from 1 species
GGCACAUCUCAUGGUCCGUGUCAGCGCUGGAGUUUGAGAUGAGAUUGGAUUGAAAGCUCUGAAAAAUAGAAAUGUGAAUGGAAAUGGGCCAUGGAGCCUGGGCGGGACGGCUGGGAGGAGAGAUGGCGGCCAGAGUGGCACGCUGACUGGAGGAGUGCCAGCCCCUCUCAACCAGAUUUCUUCAGUCAUCCUCCUGCCAGGGUUGACAGAAAAGCUGUACCAGCUCAGUGCAGAUGCAAGUGCAGCAUGGGUCAUCAAUGA